GCUUAUGCUGUCAGUGAACCUGCCUUCUGGCUUCUCCCCUGAGAUUGGAGAGUGGAAGAGUCUCAGAUCUCAUCAUACGGAUCCUGCCUUCCCUCUUGGCGUUGUCACUUCUUUUAGAAGACCAAGCACCUGUUCUUAUGUCCCACGCUAGCAUCAGUGGACAGAAGGAUGCAGUAGCCUGCCUGCCCUGCUCCUGCGCUAUCAGUCUCAACUGAGGAAUAAGCAGGAAGAGCUUGGAGACAAGAUGACAAGAUCUGGCCCUGUCCUCAUCUCUGUCACACUUAUAAAUCUAGAGAAAUUCCACUUGUUCCUUGAGGACAUGCAAGGAUUUUAUUAUAGAAGUGUUGAAAACUGGAAUCCAGCACAUCAGAUUAACAUAAAAUGCAAGGGAAAAGUACCCAGCAACAAGCAAAGGGCAAUACAGAAAAUAGGUUUGUUAAAAGCAAAUUGGAUGUGUUUGUUUUCUUCUUUUUUUCCCUCUACAUUAAUGCCAUCCAGGCCUCUCCCGUAUAUUCUUGAGAAAAUGACUUCGUUAUAUCAGAGAAAUAUAUUGAAAAUGAAAUCAGUGGAAGCACCAAAUGUGCCCAGACAUGACAAGACUUUUAAGUAACAACAGCAGAAUUCUAUCUCCUUUCCUGUUUGUUCCAUGUUAACUUAUGGAGAUUGGUGCUGACUUUCUGGAAUGGCUGCAGCAAGCUGUAAAUGAUGUAUGAAAAUGAAAUGAAAAUUCUCUGCCCGAGCCACUGUGCACAGCAAUUGCUGCUGAGCCAAAUUAAUAGCUAUUUGCUCCUGUGUGCUCUGACAUGGGAUGGAGCCAGAGAAGCCAGUAGUAAAGAAACUGGAACAGCUAUCCACAGGUAUCCUGGACAGGACUCCUGCAGAUCCUUUAUUCCAUCUUCAGUGGUGGAGUCCCUUCAGAGAGGUGAAAAGGAGGAGACUCAAAUGUUUUCAGCCCUUCCUGGAAAAGCCCCAGGGGUUGGCUCACAAAAUCAGAGAAUAUCCCAAGUUGGAAGAGACCCAUAAGGAUCAUCAAUUCCAACUCCUGGCUCCGCACAGGACCACCCAAAAAUCAGGCUCUACGUCUGAGAGCUUUGUCCAGAUGCUUCUUGAACUUUGGCAAGAUUGGUGCCAUGACUGCUGCCCUGGGGAGCCUGU